UCCAACAGGGCCUAAUGAGCAGCAGCGCCUGCAGUUCAUCAGGACACUUCCUUCAGCCAAACAGAACUUGCAGACUGCUGAAGACUUGAUCUACAAGCCGGUGAGCAAGCGAGUGUCCAGCCGCGACGUGCCGGCGCUGGAGCAUCGUCUGCAGCAGUCGGUGGCGCGGCACAACGCCAGCGUGGCCGACCUCCUCGCCGCCACCGCCGACGGUGAUAAUCCAGACUACGAAAGAGCUGAUGCAGCAAUCAGGAGCAUCACCGAGACGAUGCCUGAGAUGGUAGAAG